rnacentral:rRNA from 1 species
GUGGGGAAUUUUGGACAAUGGGCGCAAGCCUGAUCCAGCAAUGCCGCGUGCAGGAAGAAGGCCUUCGGGUUGUAAACUGCUUUUGUACGGAACGAAACGGUCCGGGUUAAUACCCUGGGCUAAUGACGGUACCGUAAGAAUAAGCACCGGCUAACUACGUGCCAGCAGCCGCGGUAAUACGUAGGGUGCAAGCGUUAAUCGGAAUUACUGGGCGUAACGCGUGCGCAGGCGGUUUUGUAAGACAGGCGUGAAAUCCCCGGGCUCAACCUGGGAAUUGCGCUUGUGACUGCAAGGCUGGAGUGCGGCAGAGGGGGAUGGAAUUCCGCGUGUAGCAGUGAAAUGCGUAGAUAUGCGGAGGAACACCGAUGGCGAAGGCAAUCCCCUGGGCCUGCACUGACGCUCAUGCACGAAAGCGUGGGGAGCAAACAGGAUUAGAAACCCGAGUAGUCC